GCCCCACAGACGCCCUCCACCGUCCCGUCCCCGCAGGUCGGGACCACCCGGGGACCCUCUCGGAGCCGCCCUGAGGCUCUGCUCCGGCCCCAUGGCCCCCGUUUGGGAUUAUGUCACCCGCCACGUCUGGAACCACCGUUUUCCCAGGAAAACCCCUAAAAAUACGAGCCAACAAGUGACCUAAGUGACGUCUAAGGAUGGGAGCGUAGUCCUGUACCUGCUUGGAUCCUUUUUGCUUCUCACCCUAACCUGAAAAGAUGUUGAUUAAAGAGACGCCCCGGGGUGUUAGACAAAAAAGCAGGAAUCUGCUAAUCUCCCGUGAGGAUGGAAUCCCCAGCUCUGCCUGCAGACCAGCGGACAAAGCUGCAUCACAGUCCUUCUCCGUGCCACGCCUGGGAGCAGCGACAGCAUGGGUCCGACCCGUCGAUUUCUCCCCACCUAAGCCAAUUUUUCUUAAUAAAGGCAUUAAAAAGGAGAAAGAUCUCCUGCCCAUU